rnacentral:rRNA from 1 species
ACAAGCUAGAUAAGGGCGUAUGGGGAAUGCCUAGGCUCUCAGAGGCGAUGAAGGACGCGAUAAGCUGCGAAAAGCUGUGGGGAGGUGCACAUAACUUGUGAUCCGCAGAUAUCCGAAUGGGGCAACCCACUAUAUUGAAGGUAUAGUAUCCCGUAAGGGAAGUGAACCCGGUGAACUGAAACAUCUAAGUAGCCGGAGGAAGAGAAAACAAAAGUGAUUCCGGGAGUAGUGGCGAGCGAAACCGGAUUAGCCCAAACCAGUGUUGUUUCGGCAAUACUGGGGUUGUAGGACCACGACAUUGAUUGCGUAAUGAAUUAGAACACUUUGGAAAGAGUGACCGAAGAGGGUGAUAGUCCCGUACAAGUAAAGAGCGUUAAUUAUAGUGGUAUCCUGAGUAGUGCGGGGCACGUGAAACCCUGUAUGAAUCAAGCGGGACCAUCCGUUAAGGCUAAAUACUCCUGAGAGACCGAUAGUGAACCAGUACCGUGAGGGAAAGGUGAAAAGAACCCUGAAUAAGGGAGUGAAAAAGAUCCUGAAACCAUACGCUUACAAGCGGUCGGAGCCCGUAAGGGGUGACGGCGUGCCUUUUGCAUAAUGAGCCUACGAGUUACUUUUACUAGCAAGGUUAAGCACUUCAGGUGCGGAUCCGUAGCGAAAGCGAGUCUGAAUAGGGCGACCAUAGUUAGUAGUAGUAGACGCGAAACCGUGUGAUCUACCCAUGGGCAGGUUGAAGCUUUGUUAACCCAAAGUGGAGGACCGAACCCGUUGACGUUGAAAAGUCUUGGGAUGACCUGUGGGUAGGGGUGAAAGGCCAAUCAAACUCGGAAAUAGCUCGUACUCCCCGAAAUGCAUUUAGGUGCAGCGUUGAUUUAUAGUUUUAUAGAGGUAGAGCUACUGAUUGGAUGCGGGGGCUUCACCGCCUACCAAUUCCUGACAAACUCCGAAUGCUAUAAAAUGUUGUUGAGCAGUGAGGGCAUGGGUGCUAAGGUCCAUGUCCGAGAGGGAAAGAACCCAGAUCAUCAGCUAAGGUCCCCAAGUGUAUGCUAAGUUGACAAAACGCGGUAAAACUGCAUUGACAGCCAGGAUGUUGGCUUGGAAGCAGCCAUUCAUUUAAAGAGUGCGUAACAGCUCACUGGUCGAGCGGUUUUGCAUGGAUAAUAAUCGGGCAUAAGUAUACCACCGAAGCUAUGACUUUGUCUUAUGACAAGGGGUAGGGGAGCAUUCUAUGGGCAUUGAAGGUGCUGGCGUGAGCCGUGCUGGAGCGCAUAGAAACGAAAAUGUAGGCAUAAGUAACGAUAAUGCGGGCGAGAAACCCGCACGCCGAAAGACUAAGGUUUCCCCAGCUAUGCUAAUCAGCUGGGGGUCAGUCGGGACCUAACGCGAACCCGAAGGGGGUAGUGGAUGGACAAUCAGUUAAUAUUCUGAUACCUGCUCACAUUAAAAGUGACGGGGAUGAGGCGUUGGUGCGAAGAGACGGAAUUCUUCGUUGAAGGUAGCGGAAGCUACUGAUAGUACACUGAGGCUUCGGCCAAGGUGAUAAUCCAGCUUAUCAUCCUCCAAGAAAAACAAGUGAAGCAGCCCGUACCGUAAACCGACACAGGUGGUUGGGAUGAGUAUUCUAAGGCGCUCGAGAGAUUCAUGGCUAAGGAACUAGGCAAAAUAGACCCGUAACUUCGGGAGAAGGGUCGCCCCCUUAUGGGGGGCCGCAGUGAAGAGGUCCAGGCGACUGUUUAUCAAAAACACAGGGCUCUGCUAAAUCGAAAGAUGACGUAUAGGGCCUGACACCUGCCCGGUGCUGGAAGGUUAAGAGGAGAUGUUAUUUUUCGGAAGAAGCAUUGAAUUGAAGCCCCAGUAAACGGCGGCCGUAACUAUAACGGUCCUAAGGUAGCGAAAUUCCUUGUCGGG